CCUACGGGAGGCAGCAGUGAGGAAUAUUGGUCAAUGGACGAGAGUCUGAACCAGCCAAGUAGCGUGAAGGAUGACUGCCCUAUGGGUUGUAAACUUCUUUUAUAUGGGAAUAAAAUGUUCCACGUGUGGGUUUUUGUAUGUACCAUAUGAAUAAGGAUCGGCUAACUCCGUGCCAGCAGCCGCGGUAAUACGGAGGAUCCGAGCGUUAUCCGGAUUUAUUGGGUUUAAAGGGAGCGUAGGUGGAUUGUUAAGUCAGUUGUGAAAGUUUGCGGCUCAACCGUAAAAUUGCAGUUGAAACUGGCAGUCUUGAGUACAGUAGAGGUGGGCGGAAGUCGUGGUGUAGCGGUGAAAUGCUUAGAGAUCACGAAGAACUCCGAUUGCGAAGGCAGCUCACUGGACUGCAACUGACACUGAGGCUCGAAAGUGUGGGUAUCAAACAGGAUUAGAUACCCCUGUAGUC
rnacentral:rRNA from 1 species